rnacentral:RNase_P_RNA from 1 species
AGAUAGUCGAGCAACCGCUGCUAGUCACUUGUUGAUUAGGGGAGGAAAGUCCGGGCUCCACAGGGCAGGGUGCCAGGUAACGCCUGGGUAGCGUGAGCUAACGGCCAGUGCAGCAGAGAGUAUACCGCCGAUGGUUCUCUUCGGAGUUCACAGGUAAGGGUGAAAGGGUGCGGUAAGAGCGCACCGCGCGACUGGUAACAGUUCGUGGCACGGUAAACCCCACUCGGAGCAAGACCAAAUAGGUUCUCGUUUGGCGUGGCCCACGUUGAGAACGGGUAGGUCGCUUGAGCCUUGGAGUGAUCCAAGGCCUAGAUGAAUGGUUGCAACUUGUUCGCAAGUCACAGAACCCGGCUUAUAGACAAAU